CAGUAGCCGCGGGAAUACAGAGGGUGCGAGCGUUAAUCGGAUUUACUGGGCGUAAAGCGUGCGUAGGCGGCUUUUUAAGUCGGAUGUGAAAUCCCUGAGCUUAACUUAGGAAUUGCAUUCGAUACUGGGAAGCUAGAGUAUGGGAGAGGAUGGUAGAAUUCCAGGUGUAGCGGUGAAAUGCGUAGAGAUUUGGAGGAAUACCGAUGGCGAAGGCAGCCAUCUGGCCUAAUACUGACGCUGAGGUACGAAAGCAUGGGGAGCAAACAGGAUUAGAUACCCCUGUAGUCCCUGUCUCUUAUAC
rnacentral:rRNA from 1 species